AGCAUCUCCAGGUACGUUUUCAUG
rnacentral:siRNA from 1 species